ACAUUCGUCCAGGAUUAAAAAACUCUUUUCGUCAAUCGUAUUCUAAUAAUAAAUUAAAGAAAAAACUGAACUAACGAUAAAAAUUGUCAUAGAAAAUAUUAACGAAACGUGGGAGGAAGAAAAAUACGGAAGGACGAUCGUGGGACCGUUGCCGACGAGGACGAGGACGAGGACGAGGACGAGAACGAGAACGACGUAUCGUUCGUCUGGAAUUCUACUCUGUUUCUCCGUAUUCCACCCCCGUCUUUACCAUCUUGUAUUUCCCUCUGUACAAUUACACGUUGCGACGAUGAUAAACGGUGUUAUUUCAAAAGCGUGGGCAACAACGAUCGGAAUGGUAGUAGACGAUAGAAUGUGACAUUCGUCCAUUAUUCAACGAGACGGCGAACGAGACAAAGACGACACAGAGAGAAGAGGAUAAAAGAGUAGAUGAGCGGGCGCGAGUGCUGUAUGUUUAUCGGAAAACGUAUCGAGGCCACGCGAAGCAAAGCUCCUGGAGCGCAGGUCCGUUGUUGGCGGGACACAACCCCCUGAAACAUCCCCUUCUUACCUUCGAGACACCGCAACUAGAACCGCUGGCGGUAGCUCGAGGGAUCGUAGGU
rnacentral:lncRNA from 1 species